rnacentral:rRNA from 1 species
GCUCCAAUAGCGUAUAUUAAAGUUGUUGCAGUUAAAAAGCUCGUAGUUGGAUUUGUGGCGUGCGUGGGCGGUCGGGCACUAGUGCCGUGCUUGCCUUCGCCGCCAUCUUUGGUCGGAUCCUGUGUGGCAUUAGGUUGUCGUGCAGGGGAUGGCCAUCGUUUACUGUGAAAAAAUUAGAGUGUUCAAAGCAGGCUUAUGCC